AUGUUUGUGGCGGUUUUAGGUUUUAGUAGCUCCACUCAUGAGCGGCUAAAUUAAAAGGGAAUCCGGUGUAAAUCCGGAGCUGUCCCCGCAACUGUAACCCGAGUGCGCUGUGUUUUCGGACCGCGCAUUAGUGAUGUUCCACCCACCGAGGGCCAUUGUGCAUGCGCAUGAGAAGGCCGGAGCAUCCAGGGAAGUCAGGAGACCUGCCUCUAGCCGACAGUAGUU
rnacentral:ncRNA from 2 species